CCUUCAACACAUAACUAGAGAGAGAGAGAACAAAAGUCAUGGCACUCUCGGCCAUGGCUGAGCAAAAAUUGAGGCUCCCAAGUGUUGAUCAAAAAUAAGAUUUUCAAGGUAAUUCAACCCUUUAGAAGGUCCAUAGCAACGUGAAAAUGGUCAUUAGGGCAGCAAGAACAAGUAUUAAUUCAAUGCACAAAUUCUAGCCAAGUUAAGAAGCCAACUUGUUAAGGUUGAAACUUUGGGCAGCGUAUACGAGUUGUGUUACGAAUAAACGCCAAAGGUACAGAUACUCGCUUUGGUGAGCCGCCAGCUUAGGACUUCCCUUCUGCUAUCUUGGAGAGCUCCGUUGUUCCGGAGCCCAGAUUUGGUAUAGAUCUUUUUUUAUCUAAAUAUAUGUAUAUGUUGUCUAAGGGUACGACGGGGCCCUGUCCCGUCAUAUUUCACUGUUGAAACUCUUAGAGGUCUGUAGACAUGUAUGUGGGUCGUGUUCAGAUGUGGUCAGUUGUGCCAAUAUGGUCAUUAUGGAUGUUCUAGCGCUGUAGCAGCCUUGCCGGCUUGCAUAUAUUGUCAUGUUGUGGUAGCAGCCUUGUCGGCUUGCGUUUAUAUAUAUAUAGUUGGGACGUUCCCACCUGUU